UUUUUGAUAUUUACUUUAGUUUUUUGGGUGAAAUUAAUGAACUUGGCUAUUGGUAUUUAAGAUUUUAAAAUUUAGUGAACAAGCCAGAUUAGUACCUGGUUAGAUAAAAAUUAAAAGUGCAGAAGUAAAGUUAUAUUUAAACUGUAAGAAUAUUGGCAGGUUAUUAAAUUAUCUUUGGAGGCUGAGUAGUAAUUGAGAGCCCUCAUUUACAACUUUUAUUUUUGACGCAUGUAUGAUCGUUUAUUUUAUUCUUAAGGAUUGUAAUUUUAGUUUGUUUCUGAAAAAAUAGAUAUAUACUUGGUUUAUGUGAAAGAUUUAGUUUGGCCUACAAUAUUUUAAUAUUUGGAUAAUACUAGUAGUAGGUAUUUGAAAUUGUAAAAGACAGUAAGUUUUUUUUAAUGUAAAACUGAAGUUUAUUUAAUAACGGUACAAAUCAUCCAUCAAUUGCCUAGAGGGGAGUAAGUUG
rnacentral:ncRNA from 1 species